CCCUACGAUUCUGAGCGACUGUUUUCCUAACUCUUUACCCAGCCAAAACCCCACACUCUCAUGUCAGUUACUGGAUAUUCACUCGAUGCAGCAAUGGCGUGUCAAAAUGGAAGAAGCAUGGGAGGUUCUCCGAAAUACAGGUAAUCGCCUCUAAGAGGUAAUCGCGGGAGAGGUGCAGUGUCGGUGGAGCCUCUGUGAUUCGCAGGAGUUUUACUAUAGGAGAAGCAGUGGGGGUUUUGCGAGCUUUAAUGGUAGAACAUCGUUGGAACUUCAGCGGUUUGGGUUCUGUGAGGUUUACGAGUGCAGAAUUGUGUUUAGACCUAUCCCGAAUUACCUCCGAUGGGUGUGUUGUUUUAAAUUUCUGCUGACCCAAUAUUCUCACUAUUUUCUUCACGGUUGAGUUGGGAGGAGAACUGGCCACCCUAUCCAGGUAAUCUUUGCUCUUGUUUCGUUGCCAAUGGGAGGCUGUCUGUCCAAGGUUGAUUUAAUUUCAUCAGCGUUGUAUGUCCUAAAUCUGUGAUACCUAAUCUGAUCGAGAAGCUCUUCUUGUGCGUUUGCUUAUGGAUACUGUUUGUUUAAGAUUAUAUUUGCAUGAAAUCCAUCGGAUCCGAUGUGGGAGAUUGUUUUAUGCAUCGAGAUGACCUUGACUCAGUGCAAAUCUACGUGUUUUAGUUGAUUUUCAAUUGAUUGCUUUCAGAUAAUUUAUUAAUUGAUCUCUUCGGUGUUAUGUUGUCAGAUCUAUUAUCCGUUUCAUUUGUUGGUUAUGAAGGUUAAUAGACAUAUUAUGGGGUGAAUGUAAGGCUUAGGUAAGCAGCUUCCUAUAUUCAUGAGGUAUCGAUUGCCUUUGUUUUCUUCCUAUAUUAUGGCUCGCUUUCGACUUUGACAUCUUAGGACCGCUUGAAUUUUAUACCUCUAACUUCGUGUUCUACGAUUUCUGUCCAUUUUCAAGAAGAUUAUGCCUUGAUUAUCUGAUAUUUGAUUGAAUUAAAUAUGUACUUAUCAAAACUUUAGAUGUUCAUUUCCUUAAUUAAUUGUCUCUGAACUUUUCUUUCUAUUUUCGCCAUAUACAUUUUGGCCGUUCGCGAAAACUUGAAAAGAACAAGGAGCUUCUUAUCGGAAAUGGAUAUUUCAUAUCAUCAUUGUUUUGCACUCUCACUCAAGUUAACAUAUUUAUGCUUAUUUACUAGAAGACUCUUGACCAUUUACUAAGCAGUGACUAACUUAUUUCUUUUUCAGUCAAGUAAAAACAUUCUAAUUUUAUGCUACCAACUUUGUAUUUGAAAUUGAUUUACCGCACUCAGAUCUUUUUGGUCUAGCAUUUUCGAUCAAACUGAAUCUCUACCUUUCAGGUAUGUCCACUUGAUCCGAUGCCCAAGGAUUCCACGGUCAGUUUGCAGAUAGGCGUGACCUCAAUGAUGAAAAGGUCAAAUUAUCGACCAUAUAAGUCGAGGACCUGAUACCAUGUUGUCUGCCAUAUACUGCUAAAUGGCCCAAUCAGAGGAGGGGCUGUUCGGAAGGUUGGAUUGGGAAAGGAACUUCUCAGCUUCCAUCACCUGAUACUCAACCCGUGGGAAAGGUUGGGAUGUGCUCCCACCCUGAGCAGGACAGAAUUCUUACAAUCCGUUAAUGUUCCUAAUCUCAAGUAAUCGAUCUAGGUACUUCAGCUUUGUGUCAGCGAGUGGACUGCUGGACGCAAUUGACUUUACCCUUUUCCUUUUGGGCUUUUUUUUUUGUUCGAACCUGAUGUAAGGGUUUCCCGACGGGUAUUGAAGCGGCAAAAGAGGUCUCAAAUCGUUACCUCGAGAAAAAAAGGUUCUGACGACCCUAUCUCAAGAGAAAUGGCCUCUUGAGCACAACUCACAGCCUUUAGCUAUGAAAAUACGAUAUUUAGGCCGAAUUCCAUCGUUUAGAGCCUCAAACGGACAUUUUUAUGUUAUUUGAGCGUUUUUAUAAUUUUAGAAAAAAUUCACGUCUUUCGUGUAAUUUAGGCGUUUUAAUUCCUAUUUAAGCAUAACCCUAGGGUUUAACAGUUUUGUCUUUUGAUCAAUUAAUAAAAAUUGGAGCUUUUGUGCUCUUUGCCCAUUCUCGGAUUUGAUUCGAGUUUGAUGCUGGUUUCCUAGGAAUUCGAAGAAUCAAUAAAGAGAUUGAAGGUUGUA